GGGCCCGCACAAGCGGUGGAGCAUGUGGUUUAAUUCGAUGAUACGCGAGGAACCUUACCAGGGCUUAAAUGUGGUUUGACAGCUUUAGAGAUAGAGUUUUCUUCGGACUACUUACAAGGUGCUGCAUGGUUGUCGUCAGCUCGUGCCGUGAGGUGUCAGGUUAAGUCCUAUAACGAGCGCAACCCCUAUCGUUAGUUGCCAUCAAGUAAAGUUGGGAACUCUAGCGAAACUGCCGGUGCAAACCGUGAGGAAGGUGGGGAUGACGUCAAAUCAUCACGGCCCUUACGUUCUGGGCUACACACGUGCUACAAUGGCCGGUACAGAAAGCAGCUACACAGCGAUGUGAUGCGAAUCUCAAAAAGCCUAUCGUAGUCCAGAUUGGAGUCUGCAACUCGACUCCAUGAAGUAGGAAUCGCUAGUAAUCG
rnacentral:rRNA from 1 species